AUUGAACGCUGGCGGCAGGCCUAACACAUGCAAGUCGAGCGGUAGAGAGAAGCUUGCUUCUCUUGAGAGCGGCGGACGGGUGAGUAAUGCCUAGGAAUCUGCCUGGUAGUGGGGGAUAACGUUCGGAAACGGACGCUAAUACCGCAUACGUCCUACGGGAGAAAGCAGGGGACCUUCGGGCCUUGCGCUAUCAGAUGAGCCUAGGUCGGAUUAGCUAGUUGGUGAGGUAAUGGCUCACCAAGGCGACGAUCCGUAACUGGUCUGAGAGGAUGAUCAGUCACACUGGAACUGAGACACGGUCCAGACUCCUACGGGAGGCAGCAGUGGGGAAUAUUGGACAAUGGGCGAAAGCCUGAUCCAGCCAUGCCGCGUGUGUGAAGAAGGUCUUCGGAUUGUAAAGCACUUUAAGUUGGGAGGAAGGGCAGUAAAUUAAUACUUUGCUGUUUUGACGUUACCGACAGAAUAAGCACCGGCUAACUCUGUGCCAGCAGCCGCGGUAAUACAGAGGGUGCAAGCGUUAAUCGGAAUUACUGGGCGUAAAGCGCGCGUAGGUGGUUUGUUAAGUUGGAUGUGAAAUCCCCGGGCUCAACCUGGGAACUGCAUUCAAAACUGACUGACUAGAGUAUGGUAGAGGGUGGUGGAAUUUCCUGUGUAGCGGUGAAAUGCGUAGAUAUAGGAAGGAACACCAGUGGCGAAGGCGACCACCUGGACUAAUACUGACACUGAGGUGCGAAAGCGUGGGGAGCAAACAGGAUUAGAUGCCCUGGUAGUCCACGCCGUAAACGAUGUCAACUAGCCGUUGGAAGCCUUGAGCUUUUAGUGGCGCAGCUAACGCAUUAAGUUGACCGCCUGGGGAGUACGGCCGCAAGGUUAAAACUCAAAUGAAUUGACGGGGGCCCGCACAGGCGGUGGAGCAUGUGGUUUAAUUCGAAGCAACGCGAAGAACCUUACCAGGCCUUGACAUCCAAUGAACUUUCUAGAGAUAGAUUGGUGCCUUCGGGAACAUUGAGACAGGUGCUGCAUGGCUGUCGUCAGCUCGUGUCGUGAGAUGUUGGGUUAAGUCCCGUAACGAGCGCAACCCUUGUCCUUAGUUACCAGCACGUAAUGGUGGGCACUCUAAGGAGACUGCCGGUGACAAACCGGAGGAAGGUGGGGAUGACGUCAAGUCAUCAUGGCCCUUACGGCCUGGGCUACACACGUGCUACAAUGGUCGGUACAGAGGGUUGCCAAGCCGCGAGGUGGAGCUAAUCCCAUAAAACCGAUCGUAGUCCGGAUCGCAGUCUGCAACUCGACUGCGUGAAGUCGGAAUCGCUAGUAAUCGCGAAUCAGAAUGUCGCGGUGAAUACGUUCCCGGGCCU
rnacentral:rRNA from 1 species